UUUUUUUUGUCUACUAAAAAUAUAUAUUUUUUAUUUAUAAUGCUUUGUUAAUUGGAACUAAAAAUCUGUGAUUGCCUUAGUACAUAAAUCACGAGAUUAAACUAACAUCUGCUACUCAAGUCUGUGUCUCAUGAUACCAACACAGCUACCAAAUUCCAGGAAUAAUUCAAUCUGUCAUUUUAAGUUCUAACAAAAUAUGUAGCGUGCUAAAAUUGCAGAAAGUAAACUCCAUUCUAUGCCUGCUUAAUUGUGGCUGUCCUUGCUUUCAGAUUCAGAAAAAUUGCCCAGCAUGAAGCAACAAAGCUUUGAAAUAGAACACGAAACUGCAAUGGCAUAUACUGGUGAUUCACCCAACUGACUAUAGGCCAGAACUUCCAGGCCGUCAAUUGAACAGAAGGAUAGUCCUUACGAACCUUACUCUUGACUAAACCCCAUGGUCUUCCUUCAACCACCAAGCCAUAGUACAUCAUGAAAACCAUGUUGUUCCAAGGAGAAGAAGUUAAUUGUUCCAACAACACCUUCUUUGCUACAGUUUUGUUAUCUUUCUUUCCCUUGAAAAUAAUAUCCAUCAAUUUGUGAAGGAAGUGCCCAAAAGGUCCUCCGUAUGCAAAGCCAUAAAGCAUGAUAAGAAGCAAUCUUCUCAACUGAAGCCUUUUGAUCCCAGAAAUCUUUUGGGCAAUCGCAUCGCUGCAUCCUGCUAACACCCCAGCAGUUAUUGCCUUGGUUCUAAGAGGCCGGGCUUGAAGUUGAAUCAGAUAUUUUCUCCAUGCUUCUUUAACUAUGUCAGACAUUAUGUGAUUAACUCUCUUUCUGUCUCUCUCUCUCUUUCUCCCUCCACAGUCAAUACGAAUUGGGCCUUCGGGAAAUAGAGCAACAAAGAGAGAGAAAAGAAAGGUAAAGGGCGAGAAUUGACCGAGUAGUUGCGUCUGCAGGAGGGGCAAAAUAUAAUGACAAGUUGGGGUUAGGUGAUAGGCAGAGGCAGUGCAUUGGCAUGGGAGAGACCAAACACCAUCACCAAACACUUGAAUUUUGCUUUUACUAGCAUUCCUCUGUUAUUCAUC
rnacentral:misc_RNA from 1 species